UGGAACUGAUCAGGGGACCAGGAUGUUGCUGCUCUACUGCCAGGAAGUGUGGAUGACAGAGUGGAGCCACAAAACUGGUGACCAUAAAUAUUAAAAAACAAAUCAAAACACCCCCCAAACAACACCAGAGAACCCAGCACAUAUGCCGUGUCACUCAUUGCCGUACACAUUGGAGGAGAUGGCUCCUUGGGGGAGACUUCAGUCUACCUCCUCUGAAUGCAGGGAUAGUUGCCAGAACUGUUCACAAAUGAUGCCUGGGUAUGGAGGUUAUCUAAUAAACUGAUGGCUUCUUUAGUGUU
rnacentral:lncRNA from 1 species